UACGUAGGGUGCGAGCGUUGUCCGGAAUUAUUGGGCGUAAAGAGCUCGUAGGCGGUUUGUCGCGUCUGCUGUGAAAACGCGAGGCUCAACCUCGCGCCUGCAGUGGGUACGGGCAGACUAGAGUGCGGUAGGGGAGAUUGGAAUUCCUGGUGUAGCGGUGGAAUGCGCAGAUAUCAGGAGGAACACCGAUGGCGAAGGCAGAUCUCUGGGCCGUAACUGACGCUGAGGAGCGAAAGCGUGGGGGAGCGAACAGG
rnacentral:rRNA from 1 species